UACGUAGGGUGCAAGCGUUUAAUCGGAAUUACUGGGCGUUAAAGCGUGCGCAGGCGGUUCGUCGUGUCCGAUGUGAAAGCCCCGGGCUCAACCUGGGAAUGGCAUUGGAAACUGGCGGACUCGAGUGUGGCAGAGGGGGUGGAAUUCCGCGUGUAGCAGUGAAAUGCGUAGAGAUGCGGAGGAACACCGAUGGCGAAGGCAGCCCCCUGGGCUAACACUGACGCUCAGGCACGAAAGCGUGGGGAGCAAACGAGGAU
rnacentral:rRNA from 1 species